rnacentral:rRNA from 1 species
AACGAACGCUGGCGGCAUGCCUAACACAUGCAAGUCGAACGAGACCUUCGGGUCUAGUGGCGCACGGGUGCGUAACGCGUGGGAACCUGCCCUUAGGUUCGGAAUAACUCCCCGAAUGGGGUGCUAAUACCGGAUAAUGUCUUCGGACCAAAGAUUUAUCGCCUUUGGAUGGGCCCGCGUUGGAUUAGCUAGUUGGUAGGGUAAAAGCCUACCAAGGCGACGAUCCAUAGCUGGUCUGAGAGGAUGAUCAGCCACACUGGGACUGAGACACGGCCCAGACUCCUACGGGAGGCAGCAGUGGGGAAUAGUGGACAAUGGGCGAAAGCCUGAUCCAGCAAUGCCGCGUGAGUGAUGAAGGCCUUAGGGUUGUAAAGCUCUUUUACCCGGGAUGAUAAUGACAGUACCGGGAGAAUAAGCUCCGGCUAACUCCGUG